UUUAGAGACAUAAAUACAAUCCAAUAAUAGAUCCUUACUCUUAAAUAAACCUAAACCAACAAGAAAGGUGAUGGCAUAUUUCAUUAAUUUGUUUAUUCUUUUUUAUAAAAUUCCUCUUAUUACAACAACUCUCGUGUAAUUUUAAUUAUACUUUGUCAUACUAGUCAGUAACUGCACUGCUUGAUUUAAGUCUCACAGCUGAUCAUAAAAUAAACAGUAACCGUUCCAGAGACAGUUUAGACAGUGUUUUGAAGCCUAAUGUUGUACUUCAGGCUUGUGAGACUUCAACGGUUCUUAUUUAAUUUCGAGUUGGACAGUCAUAACUUGCGCAUCAGUAUAAAGAUUAUUACUUUUAUACUGGACUAUAAAUGGAAGCGCUGUAUGUUUUGGGCUGUAGAUUCAAAAGAGCCGGCUCGAGUUAAGGAAUUAAAUACACUGGUAGAACUGUGUGAUUUUACGCUGUAGAGUCAGUAGAGGGCAGCGCUGCUGCAGAGAUGCGCUGCUGGAAACACUAGCUGUGUCUCGUUUCGAAGGUAUGGAAAGCCAAAAGGGUCAUAAUUCACGUGCUUUGAAACGCCGUUUUCUAAAAGCCGUAAGGCGUUAAGUAAACGGCGUUUGGCGUUACAUAAACGCCGUACGCCGUCACAGGUUAAGUUAACGCGUGUUAUUUUAGCGCCUCACGUAACUUAAUUAGCGCAUUCAUUUGCUCAUGUACAUAACUCCUCCUCUAUCGCGUUUGAGGUAUCUACGGCAAGUCGGAGGAUUCAAAUCGUUAACGGCAACGAUGGCAACGAGGGAAACGAGGAGCUUUGUCUCGCAGUGCAAACGCACAUUAAAUGACUGCAGCCGACUUUUGUUGUCGGAUAAUCCAGGACCUGAUGUCUUUCAGUCAUCAUUAAAUAGGUAAGGAUUUUGUCUCUACUGUCCAAAACAAUUUAUUCAACUACUCGCACAGAAUUUGACUCGGGGUUUGAGUUCAGGUUUAAGGUUUAAGUUCAGUGGAGGGGGUAGUAUUGGAAAAUCAAUGAUGUACUCAUUCUCAUAACUAUUUUUACAUUAUAUUUACAUUUUCAGAAUUGAAACCAUGCAGAGGAGUCUGGAUUGGGAAGGGGGGAGGCUUAUAAAUGCCCAGGCUGCAGAUGAAAUUAUCCAUGGGAUAACAGAGUUUAUUCAGAUGGUUCAGAAUUUAGACAGGACAACACAUGAAGAUGGAUCUGGGUAUCGACCACCAUUAAUUAGUAGUGGAUCAGAAGGUGCACCAUCUUAUGCCAUUACUCGGAGUCAGCUGUCAUUUCUGAGGACUUGCGGUUUUACAGUACCGCAGGUGUUCUCCACACAUCUUUAUCCACAAUCAAAAGACGAUUAAGGCGCUUCAGUAUGUUGCAGUAUGCUUCCUAUUCAGACAUGACUGAUUCAGCCUUGGAUGAAAAUAUUCGGGACCUGGUGGCUGGAAAUGAUCAGCUUGGCCCAGAGACUGUCCGGGCGCAACUGAGAGCAGAGGGAAUCCGGGUGCAAAGAUGGAGAGUGAGGAUCAGUUUGCAGCGUGUCAACCCAAGGGCUGCAGCCCUCAGAGCAGUGUCUCAGAGACUCCGUAGAAGGUCUUGCAUUAUGGCAUCUGGAUGGAAACCACAAACUAAUAAGAUGGAGGAUCGUCAUUCAUGGUGCCAUUGAUGGCUACAGUCGGCUCAUCACUUUUCUCCGUGCUGCUAACAACAAUCGCAGCAACACUGUGAUGGAUUCUUUU